UAAAGUCAUUGCUUUCUCUUGUUUUUUUGGGAGGAAACCUUGCUUCCCAUCUCUUUCAUCUUUCUAUUCCUUACCUGAGCUUCACUCCCAUCAAUUCUUCUUAGAUUAGUCAUGGGUAGAAUUAGGACAAGACCAAAAAACUUUUUAGCUCCCUGAUUUCAUCUCAUGGUGCCAUGGGUAGCAUGUUAUCACGCCAUUUCCGAACAUUCUCCAUGGGAGUGAGCUAAAUUGCUUUUCCAUGUCCUCUAUAUUCCUUACGAGUUGAAUAAAAAUUGGGCUGUCGUUCUCUUUUGCACUUCCACCAAAAAUGUAGACAUGGUUGAAGCAAAGGAAAUGUGAAACUAGGAUCUAUUGGAGCUUCAAGAUCCAAGUUGGAUUGAGGUCUUGGUGUUGGUUUGGUAAGGUAUCAAAAAAAGGUAUUUGAUGAAAGAAGAAUAUUAGUGGAAGAAGAAGACCAAUUUCACAAGUACAGAUUUUCACUACAUAUGUUUUGGUAUUUUGAGCAUGACUCUUUCUACAAAGCUCUAAAUGAGAUGAUUCUUGGACUAUUGGAAAGAUAAGAGAAAAAGCUAUAACUUUUAUGUUGACUACUUCACCCAGUUAGUCCUGGAAGAUGGUAAAAAAUUAUAUCAAAUUUGAAGAACUGCAGCAAUCCUAGAGCAAUUAUGAUUUUUGCUAAUUAAUGGGUCGAGGUCUCAACCCACGUAGUCUGAUGAGGAAAUCCUAAUUGAAAUUGAAUUCCUUCUUAACCCAACUUGGCCUAACUUAAAAACCCUAUAAAAAUAACUUUAUGGAAGACUUUUAAAAGGAGAGGAUGAAACACUAGAUUGAGAGUUGAAAAUCAAUUCACAAAAUUAUUAAAGAAAAGUCUCAUUGGAAGCCAAAGAAGAAAUUGAAGAAUUCAAGAAGAUUUGGA